rnacentral:rRNA from 1 species
CCUACGGGAGGCAGCAGUGAGGAAUAUUGGUCAAUGGACGCAAGUCUGAACCAGCCAAGUCGCGUGCAGGAUGACGGCCCUCCGGGUUGUAAACUGCUUUUAGUUGGGAAUAAAAGGGGGCUCGUGAGCCCCGUAUUGUAUGUACCAUCAGAAAAAGGCCCGGCUAAUUCCGUGCCCGCAGCCGCGGUAAUACGGAAGGUCCGGGCGUUAUCCGGAUUUAUUGGGUUUAAAGGGAGCGUAGGCCGGCUUUUAAGUCAGCUGUGAAAGUCCGCGGCUCAACCGUACAAGUGCAGUUGAAACUGGCAGUCUUGAGUACAGGAGAGGUAGGCGGAAUUCGCGGUGUAGCGGUGAAAUGCAUAGAUAUCACGAAGAACUCCGAUUGCGAAGGCAGUUCACUGGACUGCAACUGACACUGAGGCUCGAAAGUGCGGGUAUCAAACAGGAUUAGAUACCCGUGUAGUC